rnacentral:lncRNA from 1 species
GAAUGAAGGACUGUCAACAGGCAGACUUGUGUGCAAAAGGGUGGCUGUAUGAACUUUUGAGUGGAUGGAAAGCAGAAACCGUGUUCCCACCGGUUUGUUUUUUUAUGCUGAAGCUUUGGCCUACACUUCUCCUGAAGCCUGACUCCAUCUGAUUUCAGAGGAUACCCUACUGGUAUGUUUGCGAUUUAUCAUACUUAUAGUUUUUUCUCUCUGUUAGUUUGGUUCAGUGUUGUUUCUAAUCCGCACCAUAUGAUGCGUUGUUCACAGUAAAUGUUUUUUUUAUGCUCUUUAUGGCCUUGUAAAUCUAAGGGAAACGGUGUUAUUACACAUUAAAUACAUACAUCAUUUAUCAAAUAAUUGCACAGACUGUAUUUAUAAACUAUCAAAAUUAAAACUUGCGUCAU